AACCAAGUUCCAUUACAAAACCAGUAACACAAAUCAAUUUGAUUUAAGAACAAACAGUACAUGAUUAAUAAAACAAUAAGUAGACGAUACAAUUGCAAAUUUCAGCAGAAAGCAUAACAAAAAUACAAGAAAUCACUAGCCCAAACAUAUUGCUAUAAGAAGCCUCUUAACAUAGAAACGAUUGGCGUUGCGCCAUAGUAUGUUGAUCUAUUUACACAUCCAAUAUAGCUUCAGAUCACCAGAAAAACAAGGUCCUCAUUUUCACCACAAAGGAAAGCAGCAGCUCUUCUGCUUUUCAUUUCGCUGUUGCCUUUGUGUGCUGUAAGAUGUUCUAACACCUGCAGCUGGCAUAUUUCCAGUAUCUACGUGCCUUUGCUCUCGCACCUUGUUAAAAACCUCAGUGUAAUUUUCUGCAUCCUGAGGAUCAUUGUCAUCCCAUCCGCCAAACUUUGGAACUACAGUUCCUCUAUCAGGACUUUCUUGCUUCAUUUGGUGCCUUCCAGGAGUAGCAUGAGAACUUUCGAAUGAUCUUCCAGGAGUACCAUGACUACUGUCAUAUAAAUUCUUCCCUUCCCAAACAGGAGAUGCAGCCACACGUCCAGAUAUCUUCGCCUGGGAAUUGGGGUGAAGUGGUGAUUUCGCAAUGCUGUGAUCAGACCCUCCACUUUGUCUAGAAGGUCGACCAGAAUUUGAUCCACGACCUCCACCAUGACGUUGAUGAGUAGUUGGCUCAUUGCGGGCUGGAGAACUAGCACGGAAAUCACCAUCUUCUUUACUCACACGACGCUUGUUUGUUUGCCUAGCUGUUUCCAUCCCCAUUGGUUCCUCUGUAGGAGGAGUUUUAGGCCUGGAGGAAGGAGCAACAUUGGGAAACAUGUCCGGAUUCUCCUGAGGGUCAUUCGGAUUUAUCAUCUUCCCGCCACGGUUUUUCCUUGCAUUCUCAAAAACGACAGUAUAAGGAGUGUUGUCUUCAUUUCCCCAAUUUCCAAACUUUGGCACAUUUGCACGAGCCAUUGAUGUUCUCCGCUAACAAAAAAUAGAUAACAGUUCCUCGAGCAAAAACGUUUGUUGUUUUUUUUUUGCAAGAGAAACGAAAAAAGAGAGAAGACGAAGAAGAAGAAAGUGCAGAGGAAGAAGCGUUGAAGAGAUUAUAUAUAUAAAUGAUGAGAAUUUUCAAAGGAUUGACUGUGUCUGAGCACGUAU
rnacentral:misc_RNA from 1 species